rnacentral:tRNA from 1 species
GAGGUUGAGGCUCAGUGGUGGAGCACUUGCCUAGUAUGUGUGAGGCCCUGGGUUCAAUCCUCAGCACCACA